AACGAACGCUGGCGGCAGGCUUAACACAUGCAAGUCGAACGGGCACCUUCGGGUGUCAGUGGCAGACGGGUGAGUAACGCGUGGGAACGUACCCUUCGGUUCGGAAUAACCCAGGGAAACUUGGGCUAACACCGGAUACGUCCGCAAGGAGAAAGAUUUAUCGCCGAAGGAUCGGCCCGCGUCGGAUUAGCUAGUUGGUGGGGUAAUGGCCCACCAAGGCGACGAUCCGUAGCUGGUCUGAGAGGAUGANCAGCCACACUGGGACUGAGACACGGCCCAGACUCCUACGGGAGGCAGCAGUGGGGAAUAUUGGACAAUGGGCGAAAGCCUGAUCCAGCCAUGCCGCGUGAGUGAAGAAGGCCUUAGGGUUGUAAAGCUCUUUCAGCGGGGAAGAUAAUGACGGUACCCGCAGAAGAAGU
rnacentral:rRNA from 1 species